AAAUUGAAGAGUUUGAUCAUGGCUCAGAUUGAACGCUGGCGGCAGGCCUAACACAUGCAAGUCGAACGGUAACAGGAAGCAGCUUGCUGUUUCGCUGACGAGUGGCGGACGGGUGAGUAAUGUCUGGGAAACUGCCUGAUGGAGGGGGAUAACUACUGGAAACGGUAGCUAAUACCGCAUAACGUCGCAAGACCAAAGAGGGGGACCUUCGGGCCUCUUGCCAUCGGAUGUGCCCAGAUGGGAUUAGCUAGUAGGUGGGGUAACGGCUCACCUAGGCGACGAUCCC
rnacentral:rRNA from 1 species